AGAAAUUUUAUUUUGGCCAGGAGCUGAAGUUGGUUGUUUAGUAGUAGUAGUUUGAGUAGUGACCGAAGUAGUAGUCUGGUGUGGUAAUUGGGGCAGCUGUGGUCUCUUGUGGAGCUGGGGAAGACGGUGGAGCUGGUGUAGUUGCAGAAGGUGUGGGUGGGGCAGCUGUGGUCUCUGGUGGAGCUGAGGAAGAUGGUGGAGCUGGUGUAGUUGCAGAAGGUGUGGGUGGGGCAGCUGUGGUGUCUUGUGGAGCUGGGGAAUUCACUGGUGCUAAUGUAGCUACAGAAGAGCUUGUGUUAACAUUUUCUCUUGAAGAUAUGGUGGUGGCAUUCUGGGGAAGAAAAGUCACAUUUGGAAGGGUAGUAAUUUUGGUGGCUGCUUAGGCCUACAGCGUUUGUGCAGACAUUUAUAGGACUUUCUAAUGAACGGCUUCUGGUGAGCUAGCAGUCCAGGAU
rnacentral:lncRNA from 1 species